AGACUCGAUCACUGAUGAUGAUCUUGUCUUAUAUAUUCUUGGAGGACUUGGACAAGAAUAUGAUAUUGUGGUUGUCUCGGUCACUACUAGGGCUGAGUUAAUUUCAUUAACCGAUCUUCAUGGCUUGCUUUUAAGUCAAGA
rfam:Capsicum annuum cultivar Zunla-1 chromosome 8, whole genome shotgun sequence